rnacentral:rRNA from 1 species
CAAUAUAAGUGAUGGCGACCGGCGCACGGGUGAGUAACACGUAUCCAACCUGCCGAUAACUCGGGGAUAGCCUUUCGAAAGAAAGAUUAAUACCCGAUGGUAUAAUAAAACCGCAUGGUUUAAUUAUUAAAGAACUUCGGUUAUCGAUGGGGAUGCGUUCCAUUAGGCAGUUGGUGAGGUAACGGCUCACCAAACCUUCGAUGGAUAGGGGUUCUGAGAGGAAGGUCCCCCACAUUGGAACUGAGACACGGUCCAA